rnacentral:rRNA from 1 species
UACGAAGGGGGCUAGCGUUGUUCGGAAUUACUGGGCGUAAAGCGCACGAGGCGGACUAUUAAGUCAGGGGUGAAAUCCCGGGGCUCAACCCCGGAACUGCCUUUGAUACUGGUAGUCUCGAGUCCGGAAGAGGUGAGUGGAAUUCCGAGUGUAGAGGUGAAAUUCGUAGAUAUUCGGAGGAACACCAGUGGCGAAGGCGGCUCACUGGUCCGGUACUGACGCUGAGGUGCGAAAGCGUGGGGAGCAAACAGG